AAUAUUAAGAAAUAUCUAUAUAAAUAAAGGGAUAUAUAUUUUUGGAAGAAGAUUACUAAAGCAUCGUAUUAUUAAUUCUUGUAACUAGUAUAAGGAGUUGAACUAGUGUAAGCAGUGCAUUAAAUAACUAUUUAAAUAUUAAAACCCUUAACGGUCAUCAAGUAUAUAUUCUUAUACAUAUUAUUCAACGAUUUUAAUCAAUCCAAGCAUCAAUCAAUCCAACAAUCAAUUCAAAUAAACUACUUCAAAGGAAUACCUACAGAACAUAUACUCAGAAGCUGCGCUGUGGAUCGGGCAAGGCAUUAAUUAGCAAACAGGAAACCAUCAAGUAUUACUAGACUACUUAACUCUCGUAACUCGUAACUCUCGGCCCAAAUUCAUCAAAAAAAAAAAAACAAAAAAAAAUAUCUCAACUCAGUCAACGGAAGAAGCCUCACAACAGAUAGCUGAUAGCAGAAAGGAUAUACAUAUAUUUAAAGGAUUAUAAGAUAUAACGGUAACGAUCAAGGAACUUUGGGAUUUCAGGUAAUAGGAACAACGCUAAGCUAAGAGUAAGGACUAAGGACAACAACAAUUCUCUAGGAUACACAAUAGAAAGGGAUAACUUUUUCAUGCAACUUUCAAGGCUGACAUUACAAAUUUUUUGAUAAUCCAAAAGCAGAAGCAACAAACAAAUUAAAAAGCAACAAACAAACAAACAAACAAAACAACAAACAAGCAGCUAAAACAAAAAACAAGCGUCAAGAAGAAGAGACUGAUUUUAAAUUAAAAGAGAAAGGAUACAGCAAGGAUAAUACAGAUACAGCAUUGAGGCAAAAGUGAUUAAGGAUCAAAUCCAAAAAAAAAAAAAAAAAA
rnacentral:sRNA from 1 species